UAAAAGCCUCUUUACAGUCGCCGUUCCCGACCUGUCGCGCGACAAUGUGACGUCAAAAUGGCGUAGAUCUCGCUGGCGCGCCAGGAUUUUAAGUGCCACUCUAUUUUAAUU